rnacentral:rRNA from 1 species
GACGUAGGGCGCAAGCGUUGUCCGGAUUUAUUGGGCGUAAAGAGCUCGUAGGCGGCUUGUUGCGUCGGCUGUGGAAAUCCCGUGGCCUUAACUGCGGGCUUGCAGCCGGAUACGGGCGGGCUGGAGUUCGGUAGGGGGAGACUGGAAUUCCUGGUGUAGCGGUGAAAUGCGCAGAUAUCAGGAGGAACACCGGUGGCGAAGGCGGGUCUCUGGGCCGAUACUGACGCUGAGGAGCGAAAGCGUGGGGAGCGAACAGG